rnacentral:rRNA from 1 species
GACAGAGGGUGCAAACGUUGUUCGGAAUUACUGGGCGUAAAGCGCGUGUAGGCGGCAUGGCAAGUCGGGUGUGAAAGCCCUGGGCUCAACCUAGGAAGUGCACUCGAAACUGCCACGCUGGAGUCUUGGAGAGGAAGGCGGAAUUCUCGGUGUAGAGGUGAAAUUCGUAGAUAUCGGGAGGAACACCGGUGGCGAAGGCGGCCUUCUGGACAAUCACUGACGCUGAGACGCGAAAGCGUGGGGAGCAAACAGG